ACUGUAUUUAUUGUGUGCCCACGGAUUGAGGCUCGGUGCGCCCUCCGCGGAAUCGCCAAACACGUCGUUCGCCAUUCCCACAUCGUUUCGGCACUGGGGGACAGCAAGCCUUCUGACCACAUGGAGACGAUACACGACCUGCUAGGUACGGAAGAGCCCGACUUCUUUUUCAUGGAGCUGUUUCUUCGGGACAUGUGGCUGCAUGUCCAGGCUGCGCUCGCUAACACGGCUAGUGCGGAGCCCCGCGCUUUAGCCGAAGAAGCUGACCGGUUCUUCCUGGCUGCCCGGCCAUUUACCCCUGAGGUGCUGGCCUCUACACGCAGCGGCACCUUCCCUGGUAGGGGCACGCCGCCUAGCAGAGGCUCCGGGGCCGACGACAUUGACUAACGGAGAGGAUGUGUUUAAGAAGAAGAGUGCGCUUUGGAUGUCCGCUCUCUCCAGAGUUCUUUGAUAAGGCGCUGCCCCCCCAGCACCCCGCUAAAAAAGGGGUCCACCCCAGCCCGAGCCCCCACACCCCGGGGGAGCUUAAACCCGCGCUCGGUGCUGAAGACCCCACAGAGGAAUCCCAAACGCCACAAACUCAACGGGACCUCCGCAGCCCCACGGAUUUCACAGCCUCGCCGACACUCGCCAUACCUCUCAACCGCAGAGUGUUGUCGGUGGGAGAAGACCCCAGCAGAGGGCGCUGCUUGGUGCGCCGUAGCACGAGAACCAAGAGCGGCGUGAUAACGGACAGCUCAGCGGGGGGGAUGGUCUGGGUCAGCCACACCUCCCCUGGGAGCCCGCUGCCCCCCCUCUCUGAACCUGUUUUUAUAUUUGAUUCAAGUUGUUUUUAUUGGAGUGGUGUGCAUGUUUUUAUAUUUUAUUCAAGUUGGUUUAGUCAAUUUCCUCCUCGCUCAAAAUCUGAUUUUGUGUUUCGGACAUUCACUGGCAUGUAAUUGAAAAGAGCAACAUGGUGAAAUAAACACUAAAGCUGUAAGAGAUGAA